UAGGGAAUCUUCCACAAUGGACGAAAGUCUGAUGGAGCAACGCCGCGUGAGUGAAGAAGGUUUUCGGAUCGUAAAACUCUGUUGUUGGAGAAGAACGUAUUUGAUGGUAACUGAUCAGGUAGUGACGGUAUCCAACCAGAAAGCCACGGCUAACUACGUGCCGG
rnacentral:rRNA from 1 species